UGGGAAUCUGCCCUUGGGUUCGGAAUAACAGUUGGAAACGACUGCUAAUACCGGAUGAUGACGUAAGUCCAAAGAUUUAUCGCCCAAGGAUGAGCCCGCGUCGGAUUAGCUAGUUGGUGGGGUAAAGGCCUACCAAGGCGACAAUCCGUAGCUGGUCUGAGAGGAUGAUCAGCCACACUGGGACUGAGACACGGCCCAGACUCCUACGGGAGGCAG
rnacentral:rRNA from 1 species